GGGCCCGCACAAGCGGUGGAGUAUGUGGUUUAAUUCGAUGCAACGCGAAGAACCUUACCAGGGUUUGACAUCCUGCGAAUCUCUUGGAAACAGGAGAGUGCCUUCGGGAACGCAGUGACAGGUGGUGCAUGGCUGUCGUCAGCUCGUGUCGUGAGAUGUUGGGUUAAGUCCCGCAACGAGCGCAACCCACGUCUUUAGUUGCCAGCAUUUAGUUGGGCACUCUGGAGAAACUGCCCGUGAUAAGCGGGAGGAAGGUGUGGAUGACGUCAAGUCCUCAUGGCCCUUACGGGUUGGGCUACACACGUGCUACAAUGGCAGUGACAAUGGGUUAAUCCCCAAAAACUGUCUCAGUUCAGAUCGUAGGCUGCAACUCGCCUACGUGAAGGCGGAAUCGCUAGUAAUCG
rnacentral:rRNA from 1 species